CCCAAAAUGUGUUGAGGCGCAGUAGUUGACUGGACAUCUAGGGGUAAAGCACGAUUUCAGUGUGGGCUGCGAAAGCGGUACCAAAUCGAGGCAAACUUUGAAUACUAGAUAUGACCUCAAAAUAACAGAGGGGCAAGGUCGGCUAAUGAGACGAUGGGGGAUAAGCCUCAUCAUCGAGAGGGAAAGAGCCCGGAUCACUAGCUAAGGCCCCUAAAUGACCGCUCAAUGAUAAAGGAGGUAGGGGUGCAGAGACAGUCAGGGGGUUGACUAGAAGCAGUCACCCUUGAAAGAGUGCGUAAUAGCUCACUGAAUAGUUCAAUUCAUUCUUUUGAAAUUAUACUUGAAAAAAUUCUUACCUCAUACAACUCAACAAUUUGUUUUUUUGAG
rnacentral:ncRNA from 1 species